GUUUUUAUAAAAAAUCUGGCUAUGCCUAUAGUACUCUUAACAAAAUUAUGACUAAAAAUAUUAUGAACGUCGAGUCUCUAGAUUCAUCAUCUUAAUCUUUGUGUGUCUGAUAAACCCAGAGAAUGAAGAUAUAGAAUCUAUAUAGGCCCCCUAUUAUAUAGAAUCUAGCUCUAGUUGACUCUAGACUAGAUCUAGGAUAAUUUCAAGUCUAGAUGUUCAGCUUCAUCUUACCUUGAUCAUGAUGAUUAAUUUUAAUCUGACUUGUUAACUUAAACUUCGUCUUACUAAAUACUUAGGCUUAGGCGCCUUAGCCUCUUCAUAUGUGAAUCAUGAAUGGAAGUGCUUGGCUUACAGUGUCACAGAUCGUUCUUUAAACUAUUUGAAGAUCUACUUUAUCUUUACUAACGACUCUAAUCUAUAUCUAGUUUAUAUCUAUAUUUUAUAUGAUAAUAAUACACCUAGACUCUUAUAAUAUACUUAUAAUAAAGACAAAGUUAUAAGAUCUAGAAUCUGUAUCUAGAUCUAUUCCCAUUUGUGAUUUAUACACUGAUUAUACACUACAGAUUUAAUGUUUCUGAUGAGCAAUACUACUAUCUACAGCCAUGCCCAUCAACAUAGGCCCUACUCAUGUACUAGAUCUAGCUCUUUUGAUCACAACUCAUAUCUUCCCUAGAUAUAAACAACUGUACUAGAUUGGACUAGACAUUCUAAUCGGUUCUAUUUUCGUUUUUCAUUAUUCUCACAUAUUCUAGUAGGCAAUAGGUACCAAAUUGUGCUAUUUAUUCACUGUAGAUCUAGAUCUUAACUUUUCUCUUAACUACCAAAGAAGUACACAAAGGAUGUUGAAAGGUACCCAAAGGGCUCUAAUUGCUACCAUUCAAUGUGUGGAUUCAAGUAUUUACCCAGAUACUGCCACAAUAUGCUCUUAUUGUUUUCAAAGGAGUUUUCACACAGUGCCAGAAGCUGUAUAAAUACAUUUAACAAUGUAUAUUUCAAGAAGAAAUGAUGCUUUCUUAUUUCUAAGAGUUUAUCAAUAGGAUGAAUGCCACAAAACUCACUUGUUAUGCCAGAAACUCUUCCUACGAAACUUCCAUACUAGAAUUUGUCCAGUGCCUGUGAUCCUCUGAGUUGAAGGAGAAUGUGCUCCAUAAUACCUACUAGGAGCUUGCUGAUAGCUGGAAGUUCAUGAAUACUAUGUUGUCCUUGAUUUGAUGAUUCUGAAAACUACCAUUUCUGAAGACUUGAGCAUUAUUUCUAUAAUUUAAAAAAAUCUUUUCAGGAAAUAUUGUGUUUAUAAUAUUAAGAAAGUGAAGAUAAUAUUGUUCUUACUAAUAUUAUUGACUUAUUAAAAUAGAAAGCACA